rnacentral:rRNA from 1 species
GAUGAACGCUGGCGGCGUGCCUAAUACAUGCAAGUCGAGCGAACGGACGAGAAGCUUGCUUUUCUGAUGUUAGCGGCGGACGGGUGAGUAACACGUGGAUAACCUACCUAUAAGACUGGGAUAACUUCGGGAAACCGGAGCUAAUACCGGAUAAUAUUUUGAACCGCAUGGUUCAAAAGUGAAAGACGGUCUUGCUGUCACUUAUAGAUGGAUCCGCGCUGCAUUAGCUAGUUGGUAAGGUAACGGCUUACCAAGGCAACGAUGCAUAGCCGACCUGAGAGGGUGAUCGGCCACACUGGAACUGAGACACGGUCCAGACUCCUACGGGAGGCAGCAGUAGGGAAUCUUCCGCAAUGGUCGAAAGCCUGACGGAGCAGCGCCGCGUGAGUGAUGAAGGUCUUCGGAUCGUAAAACUCUGUUAUUAGGGAAGAACAUAUGUGUAAGUAACUGUGCACAUCUUGACGGUACCUAAUCAGAAAGCCACGGCUAACUACGUG